rnacentral:piRNA from 1 species
AGAACAAAGGUCCCUAGAAAUUA